GUGCUUUCUUUGGCAACAUAUAUAUUAAAAUUGGAAUAAUACAGAGAUUAGCAUGGCCCCUGUUCCAAGAAUGACAUACAAAUUCAUGAGGCAUUCCAUAUUUAA